ACCAAAUGCACCAGUACACUGCAUGCAUGGGUAAUUGCCAUCAGACACUGAUAAGCAGAGCUAGUGUUAUCUUUGAACGCUGGUGGUUCAGGGCUGCAUCAGCUCUGAGUUCUGUUUCAUCUUCAGAUGCACAAUGAAGUAUAUAAAACAGUCAGGGAAAAAAACACAAAUGUUUUGAAACCGAGGUUAUUUUUUCCAGCUGGUUUCCCUUCGCAGUGAAAGGGAGACGGCUGUUUUCCUCCUCCGUGCUGCGAGCGCGCCCUCCUUUCCUCCAGAGGUUAGGGUGCUGCCGCAGACACAGCUGAGGUGGAUUUAUGUCUCGCUGUGUGAAUGUGUCUUUUCUGAUUUUUUUUCACUCUUUCCUCCGUGUUUUCUUUCUCCGUGGUUCCUGAGGUGUUGUGUAAGCUUGGUGGUAAAGAAACAGACUGGAGGGCACUGAGUGGCGCCGACCGGGCCUGCAAAGCCGGCAGCAGUCCGGUCCGAGCAGGUGAGCGCCUGGCAGCUCGGCCUUCACAGCGCAGAUGUACGCCGUGUAGGUGCAGGGGCACCGCAGAGGGCAAAGAAGCACGAAAGGCUUAAUUUUGCAUUCUUCACUGAAACAAACCAAACCAAACAAAAACUUAUUUUCCCUCCCGCUGGAAGGCUCUCCGGUUUUCCAUGGGUGUAGCAGAAAGCCCUGGCGGUGACUGCUCGGCAGCCCCUGGAGGGAUCCCGUGGGGUCUGGAGACAGGACACCCCACGAGCUGCCCGGCCGCCCUGCUCCGGCCGUGCCGGCGGCUCGGCAGGGGCCUGGUGGGCUCUGGGCUCCCGGCAAAGUCCUCCUGGGGCUCCCCGGCAGCGGCCGCGUGGGAAAGGCCCCGCGCGUUGUGUCAUGGGCAGGCCGGGCCCACCAGCAGGGCCGGCCGCCGCAGUACCCCGCUCCUGGCAGCAGCUGCGCGGAUUCCCUCAGUGGAGGAGAGAGUCAUGAUGCUCGUAUCUCUCAGACAUUUCGUUCCUUGCGACGGAGCUCGGUGAACCAGAUGAGGAGACGGUGCGCGUUCAGACACCCCUGUCAGCUGGGUCGCGGCGGGGGUUCGGUCCGGAUCCUGAGCGAGAGGAGGAGCAGGGCACGGCGGCACUCACACGUCUCUGGACAGUGAAAAUCGCCGUCUGUUCCCCGCAGUCUGUUAACAGGAAAGUGAACUGAGAGCGUACCGUCCCCUUCAGCUGUGUCUUCUGUGGGAAUAAAUAACGUACGUGGUGUUGGACA
rnacentral:lncRNA from 1 species